rfam:Gossypium hirsutum cultivar TM-1 chromosome 5, whole genome shotgun sequence
AGUUGGCUAUGAAGAUUUAUAUACAGCUUUUUAUGCCAGUUCUGCUUCAGAGAAUUCUUGAUUGAGAAGCUGAUUUGUUGUCUGAGCCUCUC